rfam:Capsicum annuum cultivar Zunla-1 chromosome 9, whole genome shotgun sequence
UGAUGAUGGUGAGGGCAAUUUCUGAGCACACUUUUAAAUCUCUCCCAAUCUUAGUAGAUAUUCUCUCCUUUUUUUCUAUCUGAAACUCAAAAUUUUAUUUCCCAAACG